GCCACCGUGACAAGAAGCCAAGGCUGCCUUUUGGAGAUGGAAACAGAAAUACUGAAAACCCAAGCGGCUGGGAAUUGCCCCGUUCUUCCAGGUCAUCGUCGGCGGAAUGAUGUUGCCAUCAACUGCGGCAAACGGAAGCACCACAGGAACUACAA
rfam:Aedes aegypti strain Liverpool supercont1.979 genomic scaffold, whole genome shotgun sequence.